GCUCAGUUGGUUGAGUAGUUAAGCGUCCGACUUCCACUCAGGUCAUGAUCUCGUGGUUCGUGGGUUCGAGCCCCACGUCGGGCU
rnacentral:tRNA from 1 species